rnacentral:snRNA from 1 species
GCUUGUUUCACCAGCACUAAAAUUGGAACAAUACAGAGAAAAUUAGCAUGGCCACUGUGCAAGGAACACACAAAUUCAUGAAGCAUUCCAUACUUUU